rnacentral:rRNA from 1 species
UACGUAGGUGGCAAGCGUUGUCCGGAAUUAUUGGGCGUAAAGCGCGCGCAGGCGGUCCUUUAAGUCUGAUGUGAAAGCCCACGGCUCAACCGUGGAGGGUCAUUGGAAACUGGGGGACUUGAGUACAGAAGAGAAGAGUGGAAUUCCACGUGUAGCGGUGAAAUGCGUAGAGAUGUGGAGGAACACCAGUGGCGAAGGCGGCUCUUUGGUCUGUAACUGACGCUGAGGCGCGAAAGCGUGGGGAGCAAACAGG